UGGGGAAUUUUGGACAAUGGGCGAAAGCCUGAUCCAGCAAUGCCGCGUGUGUGAAGAAGGCCUUCGGGUUGUAAAGCACUUUUGUCCGGAAAGAAAUCCUCUGGGUUAAUACCUCGGGGGGAUGACGGUACCGGAAGAAUAAGCACCGGCUAACUACGUGCCAGCAGCCGCGGUAAUACGUAGGGUGCAAGCGUUAAUCGGAAUUACUGGGCGUAAAGCGUGCGCAGGCGGUUUUGUAAGACGGAUGUGAAAUCCCCGGGCUUAAACCUGGGAACUGCAUUCGUGACUACAAGGCUAGAGUAUGGCAGAGGGGGGUAGAAUUCCACUGUAGCAGUGAAAUGCGUAGAGAUGUGGAGGAAUACCGAUGGCGAAGGCAGCCCCCUGGGCCAAUACUGACGCUCAUGCACGAAAAGCGUGGGGAGCAAACAGGAUUAGAUACCCUGGUAGUCCACGCCCUAAACGAUGUCAACUAGUUGUUGGGGAUUCAUUUUCCUUAGUAACGUAGCUAACGCGUGAAGUUGACCGCCUGGGGAGUACGGUCGCAAGAUUAAAAACUUAAAAGGAAUUGACGGGGUCAUAGCUGUUUCCU
rnacentral:rRNA from 1 species